UAGGGAAUCUUCGGCAAUGGGGGCAACCCUGACCGAGCAACGCCGCGUGAGUGAAGAAGGUUUUCGGAUCGUAAAGCUCUGUUGUAAGAGAAGAACGUGUGUGAGAGUGGAAAGUUCACACAGUGACGGUAACUUACCAGAAAGGGACGGCUAACUACGUGCCAGCAGCCGCGGUAAUACGUAUGUCCCGAGCGUUGUCCGGAUUUAUUGGGCGUAAAGCGAGCGCAGGCGGUUUAAUAAGUCUGUAGUUAAAGGCAGUGGCUUAACCAUUGUUAGCUUUGGAAACUGUUAAACGUGAGUGGGGAAGGGGGGAGUGGAAUUUGAUGUGUAGCGGUGAAAUGCGUAGAUAUAUGGAGGAGAACCGGUGGCGAAAGCGGCGCUCUGGUCGGUAACUGACGCUGAGGCUCGAAAGCGUGGGGAGCAAAAAGG
rnacentral:rRNA from 1 species